AUUUAUUUACAGAAUCCACUCCAGAGGUCUCACAAAGGUUUAAGGGAAAACUCCAGUUGAACAAAAGAUUAUCUCUAGUUGGAGCUGCAGAUGAAGCCACAUCUUCAAGAACUGCAGAUUUAGGUCUAAAAGAAUUUAUAGCAGUGUCAGAGGCAGAGGCUG